UUUUGUUUGGAUGAGAGAAAAAGGGAUGUAAUUUUUUUUAGAUGAAACAUUUUUGUGUUGAUAUCUAGAUACCGGCAUUUGGAGCAUACCAAUCUUUUGGUUUCAUUAAGGGAUUUUUGUCACGAGGCUCAGAGGAUGGCGUUGAGGAUGAGAAAGCUAGGAAGAAACGGGAAAAGAUGGAGAAGAAAGCUGCAAGAGGCAAGUUUGUCAAGCCAAGAAGAUAAACCACAGCAUUUGUAUGAUGCUCGAAUAGCAUCUCUAGUAAUUGAGGGUGUAGAAUGCUAACAAUAUCAAGGAUUAGAUGAAAACAAACGGUUUUUUUAGUUGUAGUAAUUAUAUCUCAAUUGUACUCUUUCUUUUUUUUUUUGGCGGGAAGGAUGUGGGAAAAUAAAGAAUAUAUUGAAGGACAAAACUUUCUGUGGAUUACUUUUA